AUCAGCCCGCUGUAUUGUAGUUCAUGAGCAUGGUGAUUGGGUGUUCAUGCAGUUGUGUGAGAUAUGCCACCCUUGAACCUGUUACAACAUUGCACAUUCUCAGACCUGAAA
rnacentral:snoRNA from 1 species